GCCCCCGUUGUCUAAUGGUUAUGACGUCAGACUUCUAUUUCAUGUAUGGUAUCUGGAGGUUGCGAGUUCGAGUCUCGCCGGGGGCU